CUGUUUGACAGACCUAGAGCAGUUACUGUCUGUUGCUAAGGUUUCCGCUACAAGAGAAAAAGUGUCCUCACGCUUUCUGCCUGAUUGUGACAGCCAAGAUUGAACAGAGAAAUAAGGGG
rnacentral:snoRNA from 1 species